UGGCCAUGGACAGUUCCGGACAUUCCCAGAACUCAGGGAAUUACUUGGAAAGGAGGCGGUGAGAGGGAAUCAGAGCCAGCAGAGAGAUAAAGUGCUGGGACUAUAUGUUGACAAGAGCUCGUCUUAGCUUAAAUGUGUAGGUUUUAAAUUACACUUAUCUGGUGAUUUCCACUUGGGCGGCGGCUGUGGCCUGAGGUUUCAGCCCCAGCUUCCCCAGCUGUUCACAGGACAGGAGCAACAGCCCUCCAGGGUGUCCUCCCGGGGGCCAGGCAGCUGGGACUCAGGAUGCUGCCCUGGAAUUGCUGCAGGCUCCCUGGGAUCCCUGGCUGUGUCGUGGAAAAGACACUUAGGCUGGAGACUGAGACUCUAGUCCAGACUUUCUGCUUCCUGAUUAUGUCAUCUUAAGUCAUGUGACCUCUCUGAGUUUCUGUUUCUUCAUUGGUAAAACCAAGAAGAUGAUAGUGAUGACGAUAUUACUUACCUGGCUUACCUUAAAAGUGCUGACUGGGACAAUGAUGUUGCACCUAUUUAGGGGGGUUUAUUUGCUAUCUAUCUCUUCUUGGGUGAAGUGACCAUUCAAAUCUUUCACCCAUUAAAAAAAAAAAGUGAAAGUGAAAACACAACAGAUUGUUGGACUUCUCUGGUGGUCCAGUGGUUAAGAAUCUGCCUGCCAAUGCAGGGGAGAUGGAUUCAACCCCUGGUCCAGGAAGACUCCAUAUACUGAGGGGCAACUAAGCCUGUGUGUGAUAACUGCUGACACCCGCACACUCCAGAGCCUGUGUUCUGCGACAAGAGAAGCCACUACAACGGGAGGCCUGCUGACCACAACUAGAGAGUAGCCCCUACUUGCUGGAAGUAGAGAAAGCCCUCAGGCAGCAACAAAGACCAGGCACAAUCAAAAAAUAAAACACAUACCUUUAAAAAAUGAUUGUUUGUU
ensembl:lncRNA